rnacentral:rRNA from 1 species
GAUGAACGCUAGCGGCAGGCCUAAUACAUGCAAGUCGAGCGGCAGCAUGGCCCUUCGGGGCCGAUGGCGAGCGGCGCACGGGUGCGUAACGCGUAUGCAACCUGCCAUCGAGCGGGGAAUAGCCCGGGGAAACCCGGAUUAAUGCCCCAUAGCCAUAUUUGGAGGAGUCUCCGGAUAUGUAAAGAAUUUCGCUCGGUGAUGGGCAUGCGUCCAAUUAGCUAGUCGGUGAGGUAAAGGCUCACCGAGGCGACGAUUGGUAGGGGGCCUGAGAGGGUGGUCCCCCACACUGGUACUGAGACACGGACCAGACUCCUACGGGAGGCAGCAGUAGGGAAUAUUGGUCAAUGGGCGCGAGCCUGAACCAGCCAUGCCGCGUGCAGGAAGAAGGCCCUUGGGUCGUAAACUGCUUUUCUACGGGAAGAAAAGGGCUCUGCGGAGCACAUUGACGGUACCGUAGGAAUAAGCACCGGCUAACUACG